GGUGAACGCUAGCGGCAGGCCUAACACAUGCAAGUCGAGGGGUAGGGUUAGCUUGCUAACUUGAGACCGGCGCACGGGUGCGUAACGCGUAUGCAAUCUACCUUGUACAGGGGGAUAGCCCAGAGAAAUUUGGAUUAAUACCCCAUGGUGUUAUGAUGUGGCAUCACAUUAUAACUAAAGUUCCAACGGUACAAGAUGAGCAUGCGUCCCAUUAGCUAGUUGGUGUGGUAACGGCAUACCAAGGCAAUGAUGGGUAGGGGUCCUGAGAGGGGGAUCCCCCACACUGCUACUGAGACACGGACCAGACUCCUACGGGAGGCAGCAGUGAGGAAUAUUGGUCGAUGGGCGCAAGCCUGAACCAGCCAUGCCGCGUGCAGGAUGACGGUCCUAUGGAUUGUAAACUGCUUUUAUACGGGAAGAAACACUCCUACGUGUAGGAACUUGACGGUACCGUAAGAAUAAGGAUCGGCUAACUCCGUGCCAGCAGCCGCCGUAA
rnacentral:rRNA from 1 species